rnacentral:rRNA from 1 species
ACGAGUGGCGAACGGGUGAGUAACACGUAGGGAUCUGCCCUGGAGUGGGGGGAUAACCUUGGGAAACUGAGGCUAAUACCGCAUACGUCGGUAACGACAAAGGAUGCUUCGGCAUUCGCUCCUGGAUGAACCUGCGGUCUAUCAGCUUGUUGGUGGGGUAAUGGCCUACCAAGGCGUCGACGGAUAGCCGGCCUGAGAGGGCGAUCGGCCACACUGGAACUGAGACACGGUCCAG